UACGAAGGGGGCUAGCGUUGUUCGGAAUCACUGGGCGUAAAGGGCGCGUAGGCGGCAUGCCAAGCGUGCGGUGAAAGUCCGGGGCUCAACCCCGGACGUCUGCCGUGCGGACUGGUUUGCUAGAGCACUGUAGAGGCGAGUGGAAUUCCGGGUGUAGCGGUGGAAUGCGUAGAGAUCCGGAAGAACACCGGUGGCGAAGGCGGCUUCCUGGACCGAUACUGACGCUGAGGCGCGAAAGCUAGGGGAGCAAACGGG
rnacentral:rRNA from 1 species